CUAUAUGUUUUGAUGGCGUCCGGGGACCUGAAUUCACUGUUAACCAUUAGAUGAUCCCAACGGACUCUGGUCUUUAUAACAAGUUUGAUUAGAUAAAAUAUUUAUGGUGCCUAGAUACUUUGUUUAUAUAUGCAGGUAAGAACAAUUCGUUGCUUAAAAUCCAUAAUAUUGAUUGAACCCGUUAGGGAAUAAAAUGCUACAAAAUGAGCAAAAAUCCUCAUAGCAGUGAUGUUUGUGAUAAAUAAUGGUGCCUAGAGUGUCCGUAUAAUUGAUAUAUUUUGCCAGACAUAGCUGACAAUGCAUGCAAAUUCGUUAAUCUCUGCAGUGCUGUAUGCAUUGCGCAUGUGCACAUAUAGCCCUGUUAGAGAUAAUGAUAAGCGUAUAUGCACCAGUACAGGAUUUUUCAUCUGAGGCAUCACGGGAUGGCAACAACAUCCAGAAUGUGGAACGGCAAUAAAGUCCAUUUUUUUUACUUGUACGGACAAGAGGUCACUGCCAUGCACUGCAUUACAGCUUUAAUACCAUGAAUGGUAUAUAAAUAAUGAUGUUCU